rnacentral:rRNA from 1 species
AUUGAACGCUGGCGGCAUGCUUUACACAUGCAAGUCGAACGGUAACAGGGUGCUUGCACCGCUGACGAGUGGCGAACGGGUGAGUAAUGCGUCGGAACGUGCCGAGUAGUGGGGGAUAACGCAGCGAAAGUUGUGCUAAUACCGCAUACGUACUGAGGUAGAAAGUGGGGGACCUUCGGGCCUCACGCUAUUCGAGCGGCCGACGUCUGAUUAGCUAGUAGGUGAGGUAAAGGCUCACCUAGGCGACGAUCAGUAGCGGGUCUGAGAGGAUGGUCCGACACACUGGGACUGAGACACGGGCCAGACUCCUACGGGAGGCAGCAGUGGGGAAGUUUGGACAAUGGGCGAAAGCCUGAUCCAGCCAUGCCGCGUGUCUGAAGAAGGCCUUCGGGUUGUAAAGGACUUUUGUCAGGGAGGAAAUCCCUAGUGCUAAUAACACUGGGGGAUGACAGUACCUGAAGAAUAAGCACCGGCUAGCUACGUGCCAGCAGCCGCAGUAA